rnacentral:lncRNA from 1 species
ACCAUUUGGCCGCUCGCAUUCUACGCAGCUGUUCGGAACCCGGGUUCCUGGGCUCCUCACUCAGCUCAUUGUCUCUUAGUCUCCUGUCUCUUCGAGGAACAAGGCUCAGCUGGGAGGUCGCAGCCCACCCCAGGUGCAUUAUAACGUCAGGCGCGUAGGGUGCCGGAGCAAAUCUCAGCCCUUUCACGCCAGGGAGGGAGGAGGGAUGUUUGGGGGUCAGGACGGCCCGCCAAAACCACCCACGGAAGGUGCAUGGAUUGAGUUGGCAAGAAAGGCGCCACAGCGGGUUGGAUUCAAGGUAGACAGUGGGACUUCCGUGAGGGAGAAGCAGCAUGGCUAAUAGAGAAAGGUAUAUUAGAGACCCAGCCUCGACUGAGAGGUCGAAAUAGGUACAGAGAAGCAGAGACUGAAACACGGAACUCUUGUUUAUUCGGCUCUGGGCGUCAGUGUUCUUCGCCCAGCCUGGUCCCGUGUGCUUCUAGGUCCAACCUAGUCGCAGCCCGGGGAGGGACUGGGGAAGACGGUUUCAGGGGCUGGAGUUAGGGGAGAAGAAAUGUGGAGUAGAAGCUCCAACAUACAGAUAGGCAAACUGAAGCCGAGGAGGGGACGAGCCGUGCCCGAGGUCACCCAGCGAGCUGGGCACUGCGCUAGCCCCCUCGCUGCAGGCCGGAAUCCUGGGAACCGAGCCGGGCUUCCGCCUCGCGCCACCGGCGGCGCCCAUAGCUGUAGGGGUCCUGGGGCUCGUGGCUGGCCUUCCCCGAGGGCUCCUUGGUGGAGACAGCGAAUCCAGUAUAUGAUCUCCGCCAGGCGGUGGGUCCGGCAUACGCCCAGGUAGCAGACGUGCCCGCGGUGCUGGGGGACCUGGUGCUGGCCUCGCCUGGAGAGGGAGCGUGGGAGAAAACCGGGUUCAAACCGAAUUGAGAGAUGGAGCGUGAUGGAGGUGGGCACCCAAGCACUCCAAGACCAGCGGGGAGGCUUACAGAUCACCUGCCCGUUCCGCGGCCGGGAGAGGGCGCUCGCCCUUUACGGUCUCCCUCCCGCCCUGUCCCUGCUGCCACCCGGGUUUCUCACCUGGCUGCAGUGUCCAGGUCCCCUUGGGCGGAGAAGGCGAGGAGCAACAGCAGGAUGAGGAUGUGGAUAGUCAUCGUGGGCAGGGCGGGUCAGGAUCCGUGGCCCGUAGUUGCGGCCACCCCGCCCCGUUCCCGCACCGGGCUGAUCGCCUCUGGGUGCAGCUCUGGAGCCAGGUACCAGGGCCAGUCCCCACUUCCCAGGCGGGGAACACUGAGGCCAAAAGUCUGUGGGAAGAGGCCGCACCACACCAGAGGGGCAGGAUUCAAACCCGGGUCCCCGCUUCCCGCACCGCGGCUCCAGAGACCUCACUGGGUGUGUGGGGUCACACCAGCUGCUGUCUAUCCCCCUAGGAGGUCUGUGGAGACUCGCCCCCUUCAAAGCGUGGGGAAAUGGGGCGGGGCCAAUGACACCCGCAGGUAGCUAAGCAGCGGGAUUCCAAGAAAAGGGGUGGCGGCGGGGAAGCGCUGGCUCUGGUUGUAGAUGCGACCUCACCCUCACCCUGUCGGGAAGCCGGUUAGUAGACAGUUGGGACCCUGGAACCUCGGGGGCCAGGCAAUGCAGGGCAAGUGCACAUGCGGCCCCCUGGAGGGCGUGGAGCGAGGGAGACCCCAAACACACUGAGGAGCGCCCCUCCGGAAGAGAAAAGGCCGAGGUGUCAGGCACUCGCCGGUGAGGGCUCCAGUUGCACUGAAGCAGGUGUAGCCAGGGCUGUUCAACGAGGAGGGUGUCCUGGGUCAACCAGGUCGAGUGCACAGUAUUGUGGGGGACCCAGGACCCCGUGGCCAGGCCCUGAGGGUGGAAGGGUGGGUGC